CCUACGGGGGGCAGCAGUGGGGAAUAUUGCGCAAUGGGCGGAAGCCUGACGCAGCGACGCCGCGUGGGGGAUGACGGCCUUCGGGUUGUAAACCUCUUUCAGCAGGGACGAAGUUGACGUGUACCUGUAGAAGAAGCGCCGGCUAACUACGUGCCAGCAGCCGCGGUAAUACGUAGGGCGCAAGCGUUGUCCGGAAUUAUUGGGCGUAAAGAGCUCGUAGGUGGCUUGUCGCGUCUGCCGUGAAAGCCCAUGGCUUAACUGUGGGUCUGCGGUGGAUACGGGCUGGCUGGAGGCAGGUAGGGGAGAACGGAAUUCCUGGUGUAGCGGUGAAAUGCGCAGAUAUCAGGAGGAACACCGGUGGCGAAGGCGGUUCUCUGGGCCUUGCCUGACGCUGAGGAGCGAAAGCGUGGGGAGCGAACAGGAUUAGAUACCCUUGUAG
rnacentral:rRNA from 1 species